rnacentral:tRNA from 1 species
UCCCAUGUGGCUCAGUUGGUAGAGCAUGGUGUUUGCAACGCCAGGGUUGUGGGUGCGAUUCCCACGGGGGAC